rnacentral:rRNA from 1 species
UACGUAGGGUGCGAGCGUUGUCCGGAAUUACUGGGCGUAAAGAGCUUGUAGGUGGUUUGUCGCGUUGUUCGUGAAAUCUCACGGCUUAACUGUGAGCGUGCGGGCGAUACGGGCAGACUGGAGUACUGCAGGGGAGACUGGAAUUCCUGGUGUAGCGGUGGAAUGCGCAGAUAUCAGGAGGAACACCGGUGGCGAAGGCGGGUCUCUGGGCAACAACUGACGCUGAGGAGCGAAAGCGUGGGGAGCGAACAGG